rnacentral:rRNA from 1 species
UGGGGAAUAUUGCACAAUGGGCGAAAGCCUGAUGCAGCGACGCCGCGUGCGGGAUGAAGGCCUUCGGGUUGUAAACCGCUUUUGAUUGGGAGCAAGCGAGAGUGAGUGUACCUUUCGAAUAAGCACCGGCUAACUACGUGCCAGCAGCCGCGGUAAUACGUAGGGUGCAAGCGUUAUCCGGAAUUAUUGGGCGUAAAGAGCUCGUAGGCGGUUUGUCGCGUCUGGUGUGAAAGUCCAUCGCUUAACGGUGGAUCUGCGCCGGGUACGGGCAGGCUAGAGUGCGACAGGGGAGACUGGAAUUCCCGGUGUAACGGUGGAAUGUGUAGAUAUCGGGAAGAACACCAAUGGCGAAGGCAGGUCUCUGGGUCGUCACUGACGCUGAGGAGCGAAAAGCGUGGGGAGCGAACAGGAUUAGAUACCCUGGUAGUCCACGCCGUAAACGGUGGAUGCUGGAUGUGGGGCCCAUUCCACGGGUUCCGUGUCGGAGCUAACGCGUUAAGCAUCCCGCCUGGGGAGUACGGCCGCAAGGCUAAAAC